UCUGGUUUGACUAGUUGAACCGGGAACUGGAACUAUGUCUGGUCUGAAAUACAAAGAAAAUUGGUGUCGCAACGAACCAGGAAACCAGAUGAACCGGGAAAACCGGCGGGCUACACAGUUUUGCAGGUAAUCUAGAAUAGUUGUGGUCGUGAGUGGACUCUCUCACGUGUCAUCGUCUUAAGUGCUCUGAUACGUAACGGGAUGAGAAUUUUGUUGUUGCUCUUUGUUCCUUACGUAUUAUUUUAUGAAGUUUUAUGAACAUGUUGUUGGAAUAAUUUUAUGAGAUUUUACCUUGAGGCCUUUGUGUCAAGGUUGUUUUAAACGUUAAAAUAAUUUCCGCUACAAUAAGAUUUAAUUUGAUGAUUGAGAUAAUUAGUAAUUUUACUAUAUU
rnacentral:lncRNA from 1 species